AGAGUUUGAUCAUGGCUCAGAACGAACGCUGGCGGCAUGCUUAACACAUGCAAGUUGGGCGAGAACCGGGGGCUUGCUCCCGGGGACAGCAGCGCACGGGUGAGUAACGCGUGGAUAACGUGCCCUAGGGUUGAGGAUAACCCACCGAAAGGUGUGCUAAUACUGAAUACGUUUCUUCGGAGUGCGCUUUGAAGAAAGAAAGCGGGGUAACCCGCGCCCAAGGAUCGGUCCGCGUACCAUCAGUUUGUUGGUGGGGUAAUGGCCUACCAAGACUACGACGGUUAGCUGGUCUGAGAGGAUGAUCAGCCACACUGGGACUGAGACACGGCCCAGACUCCUACGGGAGGCAGCAGUGGGGAAUAUUGGACAAUGGGCGCAAGCCUGAUCCAGCCAUGCCGCGUGAGUGAUGAAGGCCCUAGGGUUGUAAAGCUCUUUCGACGGGGAAGAUAAUGACGGUACCCGUAGAAGAAGCCCCGGCUAACUUCGUGCCAGCAGCCGCGGUAAUAC
rnacentral:rRNA from 1 species